ACUAGUUUUUUAAUAUCUUGUAGGUAGCACGGAAAGAAAUGCUUUUAGCCAAAUUGAUAAGUUAGUGACUGCCCAGCUGCUUGAUGUACAAGACGCGGAUGUACAGCUGAUUGACGGGGAAGUUUCACAAAAUGGUACAAAUAUUCAUCUUAUACUUUAAAAUUAAACUUCUCUUGGCUUUGUUUGUGUGCGUGGGUCAUCCACGU